GUAUCGCAUUGAAACACCGGUUCCCAUAUGAUCACUGAAGUUAAGCAUCAUCGAGCCUGGUCAGUACCUAGGUGGGUGACUACUUGGAAAUACCAGGUGCUGCAAG
rnacentral:rRNA from 1 species